rnacentral:rRNA from 1 species
UACGUAGGGGGCAAGCGUUGUCCGGAUUUAUUUGGGCGUAAAGAGCUCGUAGGCGGUGUGUCGCGUCGGCCGUGAAAACCUGCAGCUUAACUGUGGGCUUGCGGUCGAUACGGGCAUCACUGGAGUUCGGCAGGGGAGACUGGAAUUCCUGGUGUAGCGGUGAAAUGCGCAGAUAUCAGGAGGAACACCGGUGGCGAAGGCGGGUCUCUGGGCCGAUACUGACGCUGAGGAGCGAAAGCGUGGGGGAGCGAACAGG